CCUUUCGAAAGAAAGAUUAAUACCGGAUGGCAUACGAAUAUCGCAUGAUAUUUUUAUUAAAGAAUUUCGGUUAUCGAUGGGGAUGCGUUCCAUUAGUUUGUUGGCGGGGUAACGGCCCACCAAGACUACGAUGGAUAGGGGUUCUGAGAGGAAGGUCCCCCACAUUGGAACUGAGACACGGUCCAAACUCCUACGGGAGGCAGCAGUGAGGAAUAUUGGUCAAUGGGCGCGAGCCUGAACCAGCCAAGUAGCGUGAAGGAUGAAGGCUCUAUGGGUCGUAAACUUCUUUUAUAUGGGAAUAAAGUUUUCCACGUGUGGAAUUUUGUAUGUACCAUAUGAAUAAGGAUCGGCUAACUCCGUGCCAGCAGCCGCGGUAAUACGGAGGAUCCGAGCGUUAUCCGGAUUUAUUGGGUUUAAAGGGAGCGUAGGUGGAUUGUUAAGUCAGUUGUGAAAGUUUGCGGCUCAACCGUAAAAUUGCAGUUGAAACUGGCAGUCUUGAGUACAGUAGAGGUGGGCGGAAUUCGUGGUGUAGCGGUGAAAUGCUUAGAUAUCACGAAGAACUCCGAUUGCGAAGGCAGCUCACUAGACUGUCACUGACACUGAUGCUCGAAAGUGUGGGUAUCAAACAGG
rnacentral:rRNA from 1 species